UAGAGCGGCGGACGGGUGAGUAACACGUGGACAAUCUGCCCCCCGGCCCGGGAUAGCCCAGGGAAACCUGGAUUAAUACCGGAUGAGACGGGACCCGCGAAGGCGGGACCCGGGAAAGGCGCUGCGGCGCCGCCGGGGGAUGAGUCUGCGUCCCAUUAGCUAGACGGCGGGGUAACGGCCCACCGUGGCGACGAUGGGUAGCCGGCCUGAGAGGGUGGACGGCCACAUUGGAACUGAGACACGGUCCAGACUCCUACGGGAGGCAGCAGCUAAGAAUCUUCCGCAAGUGGGACGAAAGCCUGACGGAGCGAACCGCCGCGUGAACGAAGAAGGCCGUGAGGUUAGUAAAGUUUCGUUUCGGGAGGGGGAACAACCGUGGCAGGGAAUGGCCGCGGGAUGACGUGAAUCCCGGAAUAAGCCCCGGCUAACUACGUGCCAGCCGCUGC
rnacentral:rRNA from 1 species